rfam:[Clostridium] straminisolvens JCM 21531 DNA, contig: contig00102.
GAGAGUAGGCCUCUCGAAAUCGGCAUUCAGGUGCAGGUUUCAAACUGCCUGUUGGUGCUGUAGUCAAAAGCUGUGA